rnacentral:misc_RNA from 1 species
AAAAGAUCUUCUAAAGUGGCUUGAUCAAGCUGCAUGCCCACCCUCUUCUCUAAGUUUGAGAUGCAAGAGGGAUUGACUCGAAGAAUCAUGGACGUACGUAAUAAACCAAAAAGCAACUUAGUCGAAACUAGGCUCUUCUGCAUUGGAAGCAUCCUAUCAAUCUCUUCCAGUAAAAGUUUUUGUUCAUCUUCUGAGGGUGGG